rnacentral:rRNA from 1 species
GAUGAACGCUGGCGGCGUGCCUAAUACAUGCAAGUCGAGCGAACGGACGAGAAGCUUGCUUCUCUGAUGUUAGCGGCGGACGGGUGAGUAACACGUGGAUAACCUACCUAUAAGACUGGGAUAACUUCGGGAAACCGGAGCUAAUACCGGAUAAUAUUUUGAACCGCAUGGUUCAAAAGUGAAAGACGGUCUUGCUGUCACUUAUAGAUGGAUCCGCGCUGCAUUAGCUAGUUGGUAAGGUAACGGCUUACCAAGGCAACGAUGCAUAGCCGACCUGAGAGGGGGAUCGGCCACACUGGAACUGAGACGCGGUCCAGACUCCUACGGGAGGCAGCAGUAGGGAAUCUUCCGCAAUGGGCGAAAGCCUGACGGAGCAACGCCGCGUGAGUGAUGAAGGUCUUCGGAUCGUAAAACUCUGUUAUGAGGGAAGAACAUAUGUGUAAGUAACUGUGCACAUCUUGACGGUACCUAAUCAGAAAGCCACGGCUAACUACGUG